rnacentral:rRNA from 1 species
UUACGUGGGACGUAAAGCGCAUGCAGGCGGCCUGUUAAGUCAGAUGUAGAAAGGACCCGGGGACCGUUUAACCGUACCGGUAAGUUGCUAUUUAGUAAACGUGGCGAGGCUAGAGUCUUGUAGAGGGGGGUAGGAAUUUCAGGUGUAGCGGUGAAAUGCGUAGAGAUCUGAAGGAAUACCAGUGGCGAAGGCGGCCCCCUGGACAAAGACUGACGCUCAGAUGCGAAAGCGUGGGGAGCAAACAGGAUUAGAUACCCUGGUAG